ensembl:snRNA U5 U5 spliceosomal RNA
AUGCUCUGGUUUCUCUUCAUAAUCGUAUAAAUCUUUCACCUUUUACUAAAGAUUUCCGUGGAAAUUUCUUCCGCUAGAUACCCUAAAUCAUCUCUCUUAAGUUCAAUAUUCCACAG